UUUCGCAAUGCCCGAAAGGGUGACGAAGCGACGCCGCGUGGGUGAGGAAGGCCCUCGGGUUGUAAAGCCCUGUCAGGAGUUAAGAAAUGUAGAUUCGCUAAUAUCGGGUCUAUUUGACGAAGGCUCCAAAGGAAGCCACGGCUAACUCUGUGCCAGCAGCCGCGGUAAUACAGAGGUGGCAAGCGUUGUUCGGAAUUAUUGGGCGUAAAGAGCACGUAGGUGGAUUUGUAAGUCAGAUGUGAAAGCCUUCUGUUCAACGGGAGAAUUGCAUCUGAAACUACAGACCUUGAGUAUAGGAGGGGAGAAUGGAACUUCUGGUGGAGCGGUGAAAUGCGUAGAUAUCAGAAGGAGCGCCGGCGGCGAAAGCGAUUCUCUGGCCUAUUACUGACACUCAGUGUGCGGAAGCUAGGGGAGCAAACGGGAUUAGAUACCCCGGUAGUCCUAGCCGUAAACGAUGGGCACUAAGUAGAGGGGUUUUA
rnacentral:rRNA from 1 species